AUGAGGCAGGAGACAGCCAGGAGCCUCAGAGAAGAGAGGAACUUUGGAGAGCAGGUGAAGACAGGCACGGUCACCCUGAGAACCCACAAAGCGCAGGGGCAGAGCCCUAGGAACCUGGGCUCUGGCAAGGGGCUGAGACAAAGGGCCUGGGGCCAGCCGUGUCUCACAGCAAGCUCUCUUGCUACUGCCUCUCUUUCAGGAAGCACCACAGCCCCAUCCGUCUUCCCCUUGGCUCCCAGCUGUGGAGCCCAUUCUGGCUCCACAGUGUCCCUGGGCUGCCUGGUCAGCGGCUACUUCCCCGAGCCGGUCACUGUGUCAUGGAACUCCGGAGCCUUGACCAGCGGUGUGCGCACCUUCCCAUCCGUUCUGCGCUCAGGGCUCUACUCGCUCAGCAGCAUGGUGACGGUGCCCUCCAGCACCUGGCCCAGCCAGACUGUCACCUGCAAUGUAGCCCACCCGGCCAGCAACACGAAGGUGGACAAGACCAUUGGUAAGAAGAUGACCCGAGAGAGGGAGGGAGGGAGCGAGGGACCCCAGGAGGGAGGCCCCCAGGAGUGAGGCUUAGGGUCAGCC